UACGUAGGGGGCUAGCGUUGUCCGGAUUUAUUGGGCGUAAAGAGCGUGUAGGCGGCCAGGUAGGUCCGCUGUGAAAGUCCGAGGCUCAACCUCGGAAUGUCGGCGGAAACCCUCUGGCUAGAGUCCGGAAGAGGAGAGUGGAAUUCCCGGUGUAGCGGUGAAAUUCGUAGAUAUUGGGAAGAACACCGGUGGCGAAGGCGGCGCUCUGGACCGAGACUGACGCUGAGGCGCGAAAGCGUGGGGAGCAAACAGG
rnacentral:rRNA from 1 species